rnacentral:lncRNA from 1 species
UUGUGACGUCAUCGCCGCGGGGCGGGGCCGGCGGGGUCGCAAAGAGCUGCGAGUGCAGUGACGCCGGCUGCCGGCUCCCGAGAGCGAUCCCGUGUCCCUGGCCCCCCUUCGCGUGGUCUGUUCGCGUCGAGUCCCGCGCGGAGAUGGCAGACGACCUUGGAGACGAGUGGUGGGAGAAGCAGCCGGCAGGAGCAGACAGCAGCCCAGAGUUCACCUGAAAACAUACUAUCUAUCUUUCCUAUCUUUUCAUAUCAAAAAAUGAAGCAGUUCUUCCAAAUCACUGGUGAAGUCCUUUGGCCCUGACAUUCUGUGAUUCUGUAUGAAGAACAGAUAUACACCAACUGUGGCCACCAGAUCAAAUGAUGGACCUGAUGCUCCCUGAGUAGAUGUGAGCUUGGCCAAGCCACAUGACUAUUCCAUACUUCAGGAUCUUCAUAUACAAUGUGAGUGGUGGGAAGUAGAUUGUUCACAAGAUCAGUUCUAGUACCACAAUU